rnacentral:lncRNA from 1 species
AUAUUUUUUUUGAUUUUUUUUUCUUUUUUAAGAAGGAAAUCUAAAGUCUAGACCAAAGAAAAAUAUUUUGAAUUUUCACUUGAUAUCCUGAAGAAAAGACUUUGAAACAAGAAAUGCAAAAGAUAAAAAAAAACUGUUUUUGGAUUUGAAUUUUUGAUUACCUAAGGAAAAAACUCUGAAAAUAAACUAAAGAAAACGUAUUGUUGUUUUCUUUUUCGUAUAUGUACAAUGUCCUAAAGUUCUAAUAAAAAUAAAAGAAUUUUUUUUAAUGUCAUGUUUCAUCAAUUUCCAAAAGAGACACCUCAAAAGAAAAUCUUUUUGGAUUUUGGAAUUAACACCCUAAAGAAAGCUUUUAAAGAAGUACUAAAAGAAAAUUCUUUUUUUAAUUUUAGUCCUAAUAUACUAAAGAAAACAUAAAAAUAAUUCAUUUUAAGUCCUAGUUAUUAAUUGCCUUAAGGAAAAGCAACCUCAAAAUAUUCUCAUUUCUAGAAUUAGUAUUCUAAAGAAAAUUUAUAACAAAAAUAUAAAAUGCAACAUCUCUUUUUUUUGGAUUUUUGAGUUACAGCAUAUUUUCCAAAUAUAAAGCAGAAAAUACAAUAACAAAAGGCUUGACAUUACUGUACAAAACUAUAAAGUAAAAGACGACAUAAAAUGAAGAACAGACUUAAAACUUAAAAGUAAAACAAAUCUCCUCAAGCAACUCCUGACUGAGCGAUCCUAACUGAAUGGUCACGGGGUGUUUGUUAUGCUCAAACUUCGGUAAAUAAAUCCACACCUGUAUGAGAAAAUCUUAAAUCAACACUAUGUGAGACAAUAACACUCCCUACUGGACACAUGGAAGACAUGGUUGAGGCUAUUUUUGCAAACUAGCUUAUUUGGCCAAAAGGUGGCUAGAAGUGCAAAAUUUGGCUAUGACCCCGCCAAGCCAAGAACCUAAGAUUUAGUAGGAAGACCGGACCCUAUGUGGGUUGCCUACGUAUCACGCCCAGAAAGACGAGAAUCAGGUAUGCGUAGUUCGGGCAGAUUGGAUACGGGCAAGAAAUAAAAAAACAACUGACUUAUAGAAAACACAAUUUUUGUUUUUUUUUCGAAAAAUGAUGAAGCAUGUAAAAUCAUUUUGGAUUUUUUUUUUGAAAAAUGAUAAAAAGUGCAGAAUCUUUUUGAAGUUUCCAUGCUCUUUUUUUUCUUAAUAAAAUGUAACAAAAAUAUAAUUUGGCCCUACUCUCUUCAUCCUCACACUUCAGCCUCUCUUUUUUUCUCUUUUUUUUCAUUCGCCCUCAAUUAUCAUAGGCCCGUCAAAUGACCCUUUUACCCUUGAAGAAAUGCAAUAUGUAGCACAUAGGAUGCAUCAAGAUGGUCGGUUAUUUUGGGUACACCUGUCCUAGACGGACCCAACCCUUGUGUUGAGUCCCCAAAGUCAAAUGCACGUGAUGCAAGCAAACAUUCCUACUAGGGAUCCGGCAUGAGGUCUUGUUAUACUAGGUUCAAAACCUGGGUUUAUUGUUCUAGACCUAGCUUACCCGAGCGGACGGCUUGAGCCGCGGGGGGGGGGGGCAGCGUACCGGGAAUAUAGAAGCUUCACCGGCUUUGCAACUUGUCCGAACCUCAUUCUAAAUUUGGGAUAUGACUCUAACAGAAAAGAAGUCACACGAAGUGCACACUUCUUAAUGAUUUAGAAGACUUAGAGAGAGAAGGGGUUUCGCAACAGUUUAUAUACAGUUCAUGGAAUAUCAAAGCGGUAAAAGCAAUCAAUUAGUACAUUAGGCCCAAAUCAUGUAACACAAUUAGAUAAUAGAUAAAGCCCACUAUAACAAUUAGUCUAAGUUCGAAUUCUUGAACCCUGAAUAAGAGAUUCUGGGUUCGAUCCCCAGCAGAGUCGCCAGAGCUGUCACACCUCAUUUUUACCUACACUCCCCAGAAGGGAGUAUAAAAGGGUUUUUUCCAACUUAAAAUGACAAUCAAAACGGGAUUUAUUGUUAAAAGAUUCAGAGUCGCCACUUGGGAGAUUUAUGGUGUCCCAAGUCACCAGUUGAAUCCCGAAUCGAGGAAAAGCUUGACUCUGUUUAACAGUCCGCGAACCAGAAAUUCGGGUAAGGAAUUCUGCUAACCCGGAAGAAGGUGUUAGGCAUUCCCGAGUUUCGUGGUUCUAGCACGGUCGCUCAACCGUUAUAUUCUGCUUAAUUAUCUGAUUUUAGUACAUUUUAAACCUAUGUGCAUUUUAAAACUUUAACCGCUUUUAGUCAUUUUAGGAAUAUUGCAACGUUAUUAAAACACGUUUUGAACCACGUCACAUAAAUGCACCUGUGGUCCCCGACACAUUUUAUCCAACGUUGUUGAGAUUUGGAUUUGGGUCACAUAAAUGCGCACCCGAGUUUAGCAAGGUAAAUUAUUAACUAGCUCGCCUAAAGCAAGCUACGCAUUUGAAUUAUUCCUAAUUUUUGAGAUUGUUAUAAGGCCAAAUUUAUGAACAAGACAUUGUUGAGGCCAAAGGCUAGCUAACAUGAUCUAUUACUUGGCUCAAAUUCCUUAUGGUUCAAAACCCACCUUAUGACCCAUUUCUAUUCCUUGCCAAGAAAGAAACAACUCCAAUUUUCCAUCUACCCAAUUAAAAGUAAUUAUUCAAGAACCAAGAUUAUGUACAUCACAAUCGAAAUACAAACUAAUUAAAAUGAUUUAAUUGAAAACUAAGACAUGCUACUCAAACAUCGUAGAAACAAAAAUCAACCAACACGCGCACCGAGUUAUCAUAGCACAAUAAAAUGAGAAUGAAAAUUGAAGAAUGGACCUUUUAUUGAUGAACAAAGCUGAAAAUUGCAUAUCAAUCGGGUUAAACAAAAUAACAAUCCUUGGACCGAAACAUCGAAAUUAUUAACGUGAACCUUGAAUCAACACCGGAAUCAACCUCGACGUGCAACUGAACAAGGACCUCGUCUGUCAUCCAUUUUACCAAUUCCAAUGCUAACAUUAAAUCCAAACGUUUUCCUUCAGCUUAUAAUUUGAUAUUUUCCUUCCGUUUUUGACCAAUUCCAACAUCUCACUUUCUCUAUUGGAUCAGAACUUAAAGUAACAUUAAAGUUUCUGUCCAAAUGUCGUUUCCCCAUCUUUGUGUGUGUGUAUUUUGUGUUAUGAGAAUAAGAGCUCCAUUUCUUUCUUUUUAGUCCUGUGUAUGCGUGGCUGCUCGUUAACAACAGAACAAUGGAGUAGCGGCUAUGGACUCUUUUUCUGUCCCUUUUUUUGCUUCUGGUGGUUGCUGCGCCGUUUUUCUUUUUGUUUUAUAGGUCUAGGAAAUGAAAACUUGGGGGUAGGGUUCUAUAAUUGGGUAUUUUAUUUGAGAGUAGGAAAGGAUGAUGACC